rnacentral:rRNA from 1 species
AGAGUUUGAUCGUGGCUCAGGAUGAACGCUAGCGGCGCGCUUAAUGCAUGCAAGUCGAGCGAUGAGGCUCCUUCGGGAGUACAUCAGCGGCAGACGGGUGAGUAACACGUGGGUAACCUACCCCCAAGACUGGGAUAACGGCUGGAAACAGGCGCUAAUACCGGAUAGGCUUGUUUGGUUGGAAUACGAGACAAGUAAAGUUUCGACGCUUGGGGCGGGGCCUGCGGCCCAUCAGCUAGUUGGUAGGGUAACGGCCUACCAAGGCAACGACGGGUAGGGGGUGUGAGAGCACGACCCCCCACAAUGGGACUGAGACACGGCCCAUACUCCUACGGGAGGCAGCAGCAGGGAAUAUUGCCCAAUGGACGGAAGUCUGAGGCAGCGACGCCGCGUGGAUGACGAAGGCCUUCGGGUUGUAAAAUCCUUUUGUCGGGGAAGAGGAAGGACGGUACCUGACGAAUAAGCGUCGGCUAACUACGUGCCAGCAGCCGCGGUAAGACGUAGGACGCAAGCGUUAUCCGGAUUUACUGGGCGUAAAGCGCCUGUAGGCGGUGAGGUAAGUCGGUUGUGAAAGCCCCGUGCUUAACGCGGGGAGGCCAAGCGAUACUGCCUGACUUGAGGACGGUAGGGGGGAGUGGAAUUCCCGGUGUAGCGGUAAAAUGCGCAGAGAUCGGGAGGAACACCAGUGGCGAAGGCGGCUCCCUGGGCCGUACCUGACGCUAAGAGGCGAAAGCUAGGGGAGCGAACAGGAUUAGAGACCCUGGUAGUCCUAGCCCUAAACGCUGGAUACUAGGUGUGGGGCCGAAGGGUUCCGUGCCACAGCUAACGCAGUAAGUAUCCCGCCUGGGGACUACGGCCGCAAGGCUAAAACUCAAACGAAUUGACGGGGACCCGCACAAGCAGCGGAGCGUGUGGUUUAAUUCGAUGCUACACGAAGAACCUUACCUGGAUUUGACAUGCAUGUGGUAGCGAAGUGAAAGCGGAGCGACCCUUCGGGGAGCAUGCACAGGUGCUGCAUGGCUGUCGUCAGCUCGUGCCGUGAGGUGUCGGGUUAAGUCCCGUAACGAGCGCAACCCUUGUCCUUAGUUAUACGUGUCUAGGGAGACUGCCGGCGACAAGCCGGAGGAAGGUGGGGAUGACGUCAAGUCAGCAUGGCCUUUAUGUCCAGGGCUACACACACGCUACAAUGGUCGGUACAAUGGGCCGCGCAGCCGUGAGGCGAAGCGAAUCUCAGCAAAGCCGAUCUCAGUUCGGAUUGCAGGCUGCAACCCGCCUGCAUGAAGCCGGAGUUGCUAGUAACCGCGCGUCAGCUAUAGUGCGGUGAAUACGUUCCCGGGUCUUGUACACACCGCCCGUCACGUCAUGGGAGUUGGCAACGCCUGAAGUCGGUAGUCUGACCAAACGGAGGACGCCGCCGAAGGCGGGGCUAGCGACUGGGACGAAGUCGUAACAAGGUA